AUGUGCGAGACUGUUGAAGACAAAGUAUUACCCUCAUGGUCAGUUGUUAGACACAGUGUUUCAAACACUGGUUCUGCGGUGUGGAAAGGUAUAUUGCAUGGGUUGGAGUUGUUGAAAAGAGGAGUUAUAUGGCGGGUGGGGGACGGGGAGCACAUCCGGACGUGGCGAGACCCCUGGAUCCCACGGCCAUCCUCCUUCCGUCUGAUCACCCCGAAGGGAACCUGCCGUCUAAAUCAUGUUUUAGAUUCUCUGGACGCCAAUGGGGCAUGGAGGGCUGAUUGUCUUCGUGAAUAUUUUUGGGAGAUGGAUGUUCUACAUAUUCUCAAGAUACACACCUCUCUAAGGCAGCGUUCCGACUUCCUGUCAUGGUUUCCAGAGAAGAGUGGAGUAUUUUCAGUUAAGAGUGCAUACAAAUUAGUCACAUGCGAUCAUGAUCCAGUUUUUUCUGAAGGGGCAUCAAGUGCGGCGGCAAAUGGUUCCCACUCUCUUUGA
rnacentral:rRNA from 1 species